GGUCUUGCCCCAGCCACUGCUAUCCUUGGAAAAUUAAGAGAACCACAGAUGGAAAAGGAUGAAGUCUCCCUCUUGACCCUAGGAGUCGAAAAGGCAGACAGGAAGACAUCCCUUGCACAAGUUUUCUUGUUUUCUGCACUCUUACUAGUAGAUAGACUCUUCAACCCAGGAGACAUUCCAGUUUGGAGGCCAACCACUGCAUAAGCUGCAGCCGGUCCAGAAGGGGAGUAAGCUACCUUUCUUUGAUCCCACUCCUUAGAUAGGGAAGAGAGUGAAAACAGGCCAAGCCUGGUGGUUGCGAUGGGUUCAAGAAUCUUCUGUGGUGGAACAAACUCUUCUACUGCCUUGAAUUUCUUCUGGAAGUGCAGGGGUCCACCCUCAACCCAUCUUACCAGAGCAAUCCGAGAGGAACGAUUAGGGUCAUACUCUAUCCUUUCUAUAACACCCAUAGAUGAUGUGCUUCUUUUUAGAUCAAUUCUUCGAUGCAACCGCUUUGAUCCACCUCCUCGGUGAAAAAUUGUAACACGCCCUGCGGAAUUCCUACCACCAGUCUUUCCGACAUUUAAAGUCAAUUGUCUAGGGGCUUUAUUUGCUUCUUUAACUAUAGAAGUAUUCUCCCUGAUCCCAAUCGCUGUUCCCUUCCCAGCUGUUGGU
rnacentral:misc_RNA from 1 species